rnacentral:rRNA from 1 species
UACGUAGGGUGCGAGCGUUAAUCGGAAAUACUGGGCGUAAAGCGUGCGCAGGCGGCUUUGCAAGACAGAUGUGAAAUCCCCGGGCUCAACCUGGGAACUGCAUUUGUGACUGCAAGGCUAGAGUACGGCAGAGGGGGAUGGAAUUCCGCGUGUAGCAGUGAAAUGCGUAGAUAUGCGGAGGAACACCAAUGGCGAAGGCAAUCCCCUGGGCCUGUACUGACGCUCAUGCACGAAAGCGUGGGGAGCAAACAGG